rnacentral:misc_RNA from 1 species
AACGCAUAUUGCGCUCUUUGGUAUUCCGAAGAGCAUGCUUGUUUGAGUAUCAGUAAACACCUCAAAGACAUUUCUGAUUUAUUUUCUGGAAUGGCUUUGGACUUGAGCAAUCCCAACACCAGUCGUUUACGAUCGGCGGAGGGUUGCUUGAAAUGCAGGUGCAGCUGGACAUUCUCCUGAGCUAUAAGCAUAUCUAUUUAGUCCCGUCAAACGGAUUAUUACUUUUGCUGCAGCUAACAUAAAGGGAGUCUGACCGUAUUGGCUGACUGAUGCAGGAUUUC